UAGGGAAUCUUCGGCAAUGGACGAAAGUCUGACCGAGCAACGCCGCGUGAGUGAAGAAGGUUUUCGGAUCGUAAAACUCCGUUGGUAGAGAAGAACGUUGGUGAGAGUGGAAAGCUCAUCAAGUGACGGUAACUACCCAGAAAGGGACGGCUAACUACGUGUCAG
rnacentral:rRNA from 1 species